rnacentral:rRNA from 1 species
GACGAACGCUGGCGGCGUGCCUAAUACAUGCAAGUAGGACGCAGUUGCGAACGGGUGAGUAACGCGUAGGUAACUGUCUAUUAGAGGGGGAUAACUCUUUGAAACGAUAGCUAAUACCGCAUACUAGUAGAUGGACCUGCGUUGUAUUAGCUAGUAGGUAGGGGAAUGGCCUACCUAGGAGACGAUACAUAGCCGAGCCGGAAGGGUGAGCGGGCAAACUGGGACGUGGAAACGGCCCAGACUCCUACGGGAGGCAGCAGGAGGGAAACUUCGGCAAUGGGGCGAACGCCGGCCGAGCAACGCCGGGGGAGUGGAGGAGGUUUUCGGAUCGUAAAGCUAUGUUGUUAAGGAAGCGGUACUUAACCAGAAAGGGACGGCUAACUACGUGCCAGCAGCCGCGGUAAUUC